rnacentral:misc_RNA from 1 species
AGCAGCCGCGGUAAUUCCAGCUCCAAUAGCGUAUAUUAAAGUUGUUGCAGUUAAAAGCUCGUAGUUGAAUUUCGGGAUCAAAGGAUCGGUCAUGCCUUGGUAUGUACUGGUUUUAUUGGUUCUCGCUUUCUAAAGAACCAUAAUGUCAUUCAUUUGAUGUUAUGGGGAAUUAGGACUGUUACCUUGAAAGAAUUAGAGUGUUUAAAGCAGGCUUACGCUUGAAUACAUUAGCAUGGAAUAAUGAAAUAGGACAUCAGAUUCUAUUUUGUUGGUUUCUAGGAUCGAUGUAAUGAUUAAUAGGGAUAGUUGGGGGCAUUAGUAUUCAAUUGUCAGAGGUGAAAUUCUUGGAUUUAUUGAAGACUAACUACUGCGAAAGCAUUUGCCAAGGAUGUUUUCAUUAAUCAAGAACGAAAGUUAGGGGAUCGAAGACGAUCAGAUACCGUCGUAGUCUUAACCAUAAACUAUGCCGAUAGGGAUCGGAUGAUGUUAAUUUUAUAAUGACUUCU